rnacentral:tRNA from 1 species
GGAGAGGUGCCGGAGUGGUUGAACGGGGCGGUCUCGAAAACCGUUGUGCGCCAUGCGUACCGAGGGUUCGAAUCCCUCCCUCUCCGCCA